rnacentral:lncRNA from 1 species
GACCCACAAGCAAUCAUCGGAGGGAAGUGCCAGCCUGGCUUUGACAGAUCAUUUUCCAUAAAACCACAUAUGCUAAUGCUGCUUCCACACAUUUUAAUUUCCACACCUAUUUUUAUUACAAGAUUUAAAAUCAUUUGUAUCAAAUCAAACAAACAUUUUUAUAUUUAGGAAACAAAAUAAUCGAGGGGAAUACCAAAUUAAUUGCACUUGUUAAGAUAUGGUUUGAUUUCCUGUUGACUAUAAAUAUACAUCACUAAUAGUAUGUUGUUAUAUUUUCUUAAUUGAUUUGGAUUACAAAAAAAAGGUAUAGAGAAUCUUCCCGAGUAUGAAAUAAUGGUCUUCACGUUUACUCUAUUUAGUGAUUUACAAAUUAAACCACGUAAAAUUUUAAAGUUUUUAAGUUCAAAAACACGCCUUCAUCAUUUAUUAUAAACACCCCCUAAGUUUUUUCUUGAACUGAAUCAUCAUAUAUUAUAAGUUAUCAAUUAGUAAUUAGUUUUUUUUUUUGGUAAAAAUGUUAAGAUAUUAUUAUCAAUUUUUCAAAUUUUUAACAGAAUUACAAUAAGAACAAGAAGCGGACGAAAGAAAAUAAAGCCUAAACAACUAAGCCGGAACAGACACAACCAGCACUUACCGUUUGCCGCAAAAGGAAGGGCCAGUUAAACCGAGAAUUAAAAUCCGGUAAUUUUGGCCUCCCCGAUAAUCUAUUCUUAAAGAUAUGACCUGACCAAGAACAGCUCACGGUAGACAUCAAAGCGUCCACCAUCAUAAUCAGUAGCCACGCCAGAGGUCAAGCACCCACAUCGACGAACCGAGCAUUUAUUUGAGAUGGAACAGCCACGAGAACUGAACCCGUCCAAGAAAGCGGGAAUGUAUCCACUGCCUAGCACUAACCCGAAGCCUCAAGACCUGCAAAGAGCAGAAAUGCUGCACCACCGCACAAGUUCAAGUGAUCUUAUGUAAUGCUGGGAUGUGAGCAUAACCAAGUGCGUCACAGUAGCGACCAACAACUGCAACCGAGAGCCGCCACAUCACCUGAAGCCUUCGAGAACCGAAGGAAACAACACUCUAAGCUGAAAGAACCAUCUCCAGCGCCAAACAAAGACAUAGCAGCAAGAAAGAACAGAGGCACAACUCCAGACGAAAGCAUCAGCCUUCAAACGGAGCAAAACGGAGGAGGGCCGAGCAGAGGAACUUUGAAGAGAGGAAGCACCGAGAGGGACCAUCCAGAUGCCAUAGACGACACCUUUUGAACCCUUGACAGCACUAUCACAGACCAAUUGAGCCAAAUACCAUCACCAGCCUGCGUACGAGAACUCAACGGUCGCCUCCGUGGUAGCAAAAUCCACCGGAGCUCACCUGCUUCCACAGAAGAAACGCAACGAUACAGCACCGCCAUACCCGAAGCACCACUCACUGGAGCCACUUGACCACCUAACUAACCGGAAGAGAUCCUCUGACAAGAUAUAAUGCCGGACAAGCCAAAUCUCCCCCACCCGAACAGCAAACACCGGAAAACCGUAACGGAGGAAAUCCGGUCUACCUGAACCCAAAGAGCCGACCGUUACUUCGAACCACAGCACAACCGCCUCACCGCGAAGCCAGAACAGCCACGACGCCGCCGGAAUCUUAUCUCCUUGUGCGCGGAGAAAUCUUCCAGAGCAAAGGAAAGCCCAGAUCUGCAAAUAUACCGAUGGAGAUAGGAAAAACUACAAAGCCACAGCAAAAGAGAACAAGAAAAGAGAAGAAGGUAAGCUUCCAGCGCCGGUACGUGCGCGCACGCGCCACCGGACGCCGGAGCAAUAUCAAAUCUAGUUUUGGAAGCCGAGAGAGAGAGAGAG